AACCAAGAGAUUUAGUCAUUCUUUUAUGGUAAAAAGACAGUUAGGCUGAAUUAGAGGCCAUUGGAUCUUUAAUACAGGAGUAAAAUCUAAAUAUUAAGAGUUAUCUCAAACAUGGUCUAUUUAAAAUGCUGAAUCUGUGACAACUUCAAGGGAAACUGGGAUUGGAUACCCCAUUAUUUUUAGUUGUAAAUUUAGUUCAGGCUUACCAGAGUACUACGAAUUAAAAAGUUUAAAACUCAAAGGGCUUGGCGGUGUUUUAGACCUCUCAGGGGAACCUGUCUCAUAAUCGACAAUCCGCGUUAGACCUAACCUUCUAUAGCAAGACAGCUUGUAUACCGUCGUCGUCAGGUAACUUCUUAAAAUAUAUCAGUUAGCUUGAGAAUUUUAUUAAUUGAAACGUCAGAUCAAGGUGCAGCUAACAAGAAGGUGAGGAUGGGUUACAAUUACAAAUUUGUAAUUACGGAAAGACACUUGAAACUUAUGUGCCUUAAAGGAGGACUUGAAAGUAAUUUUGUAUAUAUAAAUAGAAUGAAUAAGGCUCUGAAACGUG
rnacentral:rRNA from 1 species